rnacentral:rRNA from 1 species
GACGAACGCUGGCGGCGUGCUUAACACAUGCAAGUCGAACGGAAAGGCCCUGCUUUUGUGGGGUGCUCGAGUGGCGAACGGGUGAGUAACACGUGAGUAACCUGCCCUUGACUUUGGGAUAACUUCAGGAAACUGGGGCUAAUACCGGAUAGGAGCUCCUGCUGCAUGGUGGGGGUUGGAAAGUUUCGGCGGUUGGGGAUGGACUCGCGGCUUAUCAGCUUGUUGGUGGGGUAGUGGCUUACCAAGGCUUUGACGGGUAGCCGGCCUGCGAGGGUGACCGGCCACAUUGGGACUGAGAUACGGCACAGACUCCUACGGGAGGCAGCAGUGGGGAAUAUUGCACAAUGGGCGGAGGCCUGAUGCAGCAACGCCGCGUGCGGGAUGACGGCCUUCGGGUUGUAAACCGCUUUCGCCUGUGACGAAGCGUGAGUGACGGUAAUGGGUAAAGAAGCACCGGCUAACUACGUG